rnacentral:rRNA from 2 species
GACGUAGGAUGCAAGCGUUGUCCGGAUUUAUUGGGCGUAAAGAGUUCGUAGGUGGUUUGUUAAGUCUGAUGUUAAAGACUGGGGCUCAACCUCGGAAAUGCAUUGGAUACUGGCAGACUUGAGUGCAGUAGAGGCAAGCGGAAUUCCAGGUGUAGCGGUGAAAUGCGUAGAUAUCUGGAAGAACACCGGUGGCGCAAGCGGCUUGCUGGGCUGUAACUGACACUGAGGAACGAAAGCUAGGGGAGCAAAUGGG